rnacentral:rRNA from 1 species
CUGUAGCAAGGUUAACCGAAUAGGGGAGCCGGAGGGAAACCGAGUCUUAACCGGGCGUUAAGUUGCAGGGUAUAGACCCGAAACCCGGUGAUCUAGCCAUGGGCAGGUUGAAGGUUGGGUAACACUAACUGGAGGACCGAACCGACUAAUGUUGAAAAAUUAGCGGAUGACCUGUGGCUGGGGGUGAAAGGCCAAUCAAACCGGGAGAUAGCUGGUUCUCCCCGAAAGCUAUUUAGGUAGCGCCUCGUGAAUUCAUCUCCGGGGGUAGAGCACUGUUUCGGCUAGGGGGCCAUCCCGGCUUACCAACCCGAUGCAAACUGCGAAUACCGGAGAAUGUUAUCACGGGAGACACACGGCGGGUGCUAACGUCCGUCGUGAAGAGGGAAACAACCCAGACCGCCAGCUAAGGUCCCAAAGUCAUGGUUAAGUGGGAAACGAUGUGGGAAGGCCCAGACAGCCAGGAUGUUGGCUUAGAAGCAGCCAUCAUUUAAAGAAAGCGUAAUAGCUCACUGGUCGAGUCGGCCUGCGCGGAAGAUGUAACGGGGCUAAACCAUGCACCGAAGCUGCGGCAGCGACACUGUGUGUUGUUGGGUAGGGGAGCGUUCUGUAAGCCUGUGAAGGUGUGUCGUGAGGCAUGCUGGAGGUAUCAGAAGUGCGAAUGCUGACAUAAGUAACGAUAAAGCGGGUGAAAAGCCCGCUCGCCGGAAGACCAAGGGUUCCUGUCCAACGUUAAUCGGGGCAGGGUGAGUCGACCCCUAAGGCGAGGCCGAAAGGCGUAGUCGAUGGGAAACGGGUUAAUAUUCCCGUACUUGGUGUUACUGCGAAGGGGGGACGGAGAAGGCUAUGUUGGCCGGGCGACGGUUGUCCCGGUUUAAGCGUGUAGGUGUGUGUUCCAGGUAAAUCCGGUUCACUUUAACACUGAGGCGUGACGACGAGGCACUACGGUGCUGAAGCAACAAAUGCCCUGCUUCCAGGAAAAGCCUCUAAGCAUCAGGUAACAUCAAAUCGUACCCCAAACCGACACAGGUGGUCAGGUAGAGAAUACCAAGGCGCUUGAGAGAACUCGGGUGAAGGAACUAGGCAAAAUGGUGCCGUAACUUCGGGAGAAGGCACGCUGACACGUAGGUGAAGUGAUUUACUCAUGGAGCUGAAGUCAGUCGAAGAUACCAGCUGGCUGCAACUGUUUAUUAAAAACACAGCACUGUGCAAACACGAAAGUGGACGUAUACGGUGUGACGCCUGCCCGGUGCCGGAAGGUUAAUUGAUGGGGUCAGCGCAAGCGAAGCUCCUGAUCGAAGCCCCGGUAAACGGCGGCCGUAACUAUAACGGUCCUAAGGUAGCGAAAUUCCUUGUCGGGUAAGUUCCGACCUGCACGAAUGGCGUAAUGAUGGCCAGGCUGUCUCCACCCGAGACUCAGUGAAAUUGAACUCGCUGUGAAGAUGCAGUGUACCCGCGGCAAGACGGAAAGACCCCGUGAACCUUUACUAUAGCUUGACACUGAACAUUGAGCCUUGAUGUGUAGGAUAGGUGGGAGGCUUUGAAGUGUGGACGCCAGUCUGCAUGGAGCCGACCUUGAAAUACCACCCUUUAAUGUUUGAUGUUCUAACGUGGACCCGUUACCCGGGUUGCGGACAGUGUCUGGUGGGUAGUUUGACUGGGGCGGUCUCCUCCUAAAGAGUAACGGAGGAGCACGAAGGUUGGCUAAUCCUGGUCGGACAUCAGGAGGUUAGUGCAAUGGCAUAAGCCAGCUUGACUGCGAGCGUGACGGCGCGAGCAGGUGCGAAAGCAGGUCAUAGUGAUCCGGUGGUUCUGAAUGGAAGGGCCAUCGCUCAACGGAUAAAAGGUACUCCGGGGAUAACAGGCUGAUACCGCCCAAGAGUUCAUAUCGACGGCGGUGUUUGGCACCUCGAUGUCGGCUCAUCACAUCCUGGGGCUGAAGUAGGUCCCAAGGGUAUGGCUGUUCGCCAUUUAAAGUGGUACGCGAGCUGGGUUUAGAACGUCGUG